rnacentral:rRNA from 1 species
AACGAACGCUGGCGGCAUGCCUAACACAUGCAAGUCGAGCGGGACAUUCGGGUUUAGUGGCGCACGGGGGCGUAGAGGGGGGGACAAUGCCCAUGAGUUCGGAAUAACUCCCCGAAAGGGGUGCUAAUACGGGCUAAUAUAUUCGGACCAAAGAGUUGUCGCGUUUGGGGGGGCCCGGGAUGCCUUAGCUAGUUGGGAGGGUAAAAGCCUCCCACGGGGACGAGCGAUAGAGGGUCUGAGAGGAAGGUCAGCGACACUGGGAGGAGGACACGGUCCAGACUCCUACGGGAUGCAGCAGUGCCUGAUAUUGCACUGCCGGCUGAAGCCUGAUCCAGCUAGGCCGCUUGAGCGAUGUAGGCCGUGGGGAUGUAAAGCUCUUUUACCCCUGAUUAUAAUGACAUUACCGGGAGAAUAAGCUCCGGCUAACUCCGUG